AACGAACUCUGGCGGCAUGCCUAACACAUGCAAGUCGAACGAAGCCUUCGGGCUUAGUGGCGCACGGGUGCGUAACGCGUGGGAAUCUGCCCCUUGCUUCUGAAUAACAGUUAGAAAUGACUGCUAAUACCGGAUGAAGUCUUCGGUCCAAAGAUUUAUCGGCAAGGGAUGAGCCCGCGUAGGAUUAGGUAGUUGGUGGGGUAAAGGCCUACCAAGCCGACGAUCCUUAGCUGGUCUGAGAGGAUGAUCAGCCACACUGGGACUGAGACACGGCCCAGACUCCUACGGGAGGCAGCAGUGGGGAAUAUUGGACAAUGGACGCAAGUCUGAUCCAGCAAUGCCGCGUGAGUGAUGAAGGCCUUAGGGUUGUAAAGCUCUUUUACCAGGGAUGAUAAUGACAGUACCUGGAGAAUAAGCUCCGGCUAACUCAGUG
rnacentral:rRNA from 1 species